rnacentral:lncRNA from 1 species
AACAGGAACUGUAAAUAAGCAGAAACAAGUACAACUCUUGUUGCCUGAGAAGUUAGGAUGACAUGAUUGGGUGUGUCUUGUGAGUGAUGAGUACAGAAAUUAAAAUUAUUGCAACAGUGAACUGUGAAGCAUUUUAAAUCUCAUAGGAAAUCUCCUGCUACUGGAGGACCAGCAAGGAAGAAGAUGUAACAGCAGUGGAAAACAAGAGGAGAUAUGCAAACUACUGAUUCCUUCGAGGUGAGAUGCAAGACACGUGGAGAGGAGGGAACCACUAGAUCAGGUUAAAGUGGGGAGGAAAAAAACAAACCCAGAACCAUCAUU